AUUCGCCAUCUAGAGAGACACAGAGAUGAGGAGCCCAAGAGAUGAAACUGGAGAGCUCCUAAAACCCAGGAGGCUCUUAAAACUCCUCUACCAACAUCUCCCCUCCAUGAAAAAAGGAAGGGUCAGCCCAAGAAGCAGGAAGCAGCAGUGCAGGGAGAAAAGAGUACUGGAUUUAGAGUCAGACACCCAGGUUCAAGUUCUAGGUCAGCCACUUCUUUUGUUAUAUGAUCUCUGGGGCUGAGUCUCACCACAGUUAACAGGCUGUGUCUGCAAAAAGGGUAUCAAGGUGAUAAAAUGAGGCAGUAUAUUAAAUUGUACUAAAUACCCAUUUGUAGGGCAAAACAGGCUACUAUCAGCAAUUUCAGAUGAAAUUUCAUUUUCAUCAUAAUUUAUGAAUGCAUUUUGCAAAGCAUAAAUAACUAUAGGGAUUAAGAUUCAAAGGGAAUUAGAAAGCAAAGAAAAGGGAUAGAGAGAGGAGAUUCUGGUAAGUGCCCAAGUUUGGUGUGAAUAGCAGUAUGAGGGUUAAGGAAGCACAACCCAGCAGCUUCUAAGUUUCUUAUAGCCAGAGGCAACUCUUUGAUCCCUGGUCUGGCAUCCUCUGUGUCAACAAUUAUGUCCCCUCUUCAACAUUCCUGAAAACUGUUGUUACUUAGAGGUCUGUGUAGAACCUUUAUGUAUUCCAAAAGCAGAAAAAUAUAUUACUUAGAACUCUUGUUUCCCCCACUCCCAUUCUCCUUCCUUCAAAGCAAAUGGAGAAAAUGGGGUUCGUAUGGUGGGGGGCAGUAACGUGGUCUCCUGGGAAUUUCCAGUUUUAUAAGCUUGCGUUUACUUUGUGGACUAACAGAUUCAGGAUUUCCAAUAGCCUAUAAAAUUAUUUUCUCUUCCAUCUUUGUUUAAAAUGCCACAAUUAGGCAGAUGAUGACUAUAUGUAUUCUAUAUUUAUUUUGCCUAGACAUAUUUUCUUCUUCUUCUUUAUUUAAGUUUGCAGUUCAUAGAAGCAGUCUUCCCAGCUUGAUUUUAUUCACAGAAGAAAAAAGGCACCCCUGGGAAGUGCCUGACAAAAGCUUGAAGAGAGAAGAGGCUCUGCUGUGGUUUGAAUGCGUCCCCCAAAGUUCAUGUGUUGGAAACUUGAUCCCCGAUGCAGCAGUACUGGGAGGUGGGACCUUUGAGAGGUGUUUAAGUCAUGAGGACCCUGCCCUCAUGAAUGGAUUAAUGCUGUUAUUGCAGGAGUGGGUUUGUUAUCUCGGGAAUGGAUUUGUUAUAAAAAGAAAAGUUCAGCCCCCUUUUAUCUCUCACCCAUAGGAUGCCCUUUGCCAUGUUAUGAUCCUGCAGGAAGACCCUCACCAGAUAUGGCCCCUUGAUCUUGGACUUCCCAGCCUCCAGAAUUGUGAGAAAUAAAUUUCUGUUUUUAAUAAAGUUCCUAGUUUGUUGCAUUCUGUUAUAGCUGCACAAAGCAGACUGAGACAGGCUCCUUUACUCAUGGUGAAGAAGGUAAGUCCCUUAUGACUUUAUCAAAUAAAAAUAAUGACUACAGGUAAAGGGCUAGAAAUUUUUAGACAAAAGGCCAGUGGGUAUCACAGGGAGCUUUCCAGUUGGCUGUUUUGGCAGAAUGGCAAGACUUUCCUUCCUCAUUCUCAAAGCUUCCUGACAUUUACAGCUUUGGAAGGUGGUGAGUGAGAAAAUUUUCCAAGGGACUCUAGACAUUCUCAGAAUCCCCUGGUUCCACACUUGCUAGAUUAUGGAAGAGAGAAGAGACACCUAAAAGGAAAAAAAAAAGGAAGGAGAAAGGGGAAUCAGCUCUUUAGUCCCCUAAGACCCACUUGGCUGUGGCUCCUGGCUGCCAAGGGUUGCCUGUGAGUGGUUCUCCAGGCAUGAACUGUGACCACCCUGCUAUAGAUUAAUCCUUUCCUCCUACAAAGUUGGUCUUCAGUAUACUUAAUGAGGGAGAAAUGGGAUGUCUUUUUUUCCUUCCAGAAUCACUCUAGUAUGACCUGCAGAAUGAUUAGCGUGGCUCAGCCUCAGUUGGGAUAUCAUGGCUUAAAUUAUUCCUAUUAGUUUCCAGCUGACCUUGGAACACAAGCAUUACAUGUGAUUUCAAUGAAACUUUAGACUUUGUUGUUCUCAGUUAACUAGUGAAACAGUUGAACCUUCCCAUGACUUGUGGUAAUUAUAAUAAAGGGUAAGUAUUAUCACAAAUAAUGCAAACCGAUUUACAAGAUGGCAAAGUGAUGUUCUGGAAGUUGUGCGCAAAGACAAAAUGUGAACUGAACACUUAGAAAAAAUGUAGUGCCAUUCAAAAGGUUGAUGCAUUACUGCCAAAAUACAACCCCACCUGACAGUAUUACUUUACAGUGAGUUUUGGCACAACUCACUGGUUACAAGAAACAUUGUGUUAACAGGAAAAGCCACUUUAAAACUCUGUUUGAUACUUAAAGCUCUCAAAUACACUCUAAACGUUUAAACCAACACUCCAAACUGAUUAAAGCAUUUAUGGAAAAUAAAAGUGUUUUGCCAGUGGGGAAAGGAUGAGGAAUCUUUGUUGUUGUUGCUUGUUUGUUUGUUUUUAUCGAGGUGUAAAACAAAACCCCCAAAUUUGACAGAUUUCCCAGUUCUAAUUAAGUUUUAUGAGGUUAAGAGUUUAUGCCACCCUUCUCAAACAAUUUAUCCAAACUCAAUGGAUUUUCAAAUCACAUAUAAUGACCCUUCUGGCCUAGGAGAGGGAUGGUGUCCUCUUGAUGGCCAUAUUCCUACUGUGGAAUAUAAUUCCUGGCACAUAACAGAUGCUUAAUAAAUGUGUAAUGAAGGUGGGAACUGUGCCUCAUAAUUCACUUUGAAGCACAUCUAGCAACUCAUCAUAUUUAAAUAGUCAUUUCAGAGAUGUUUCAUAUACUCUGUUUUCUAGGACUGGAGUGUCAUAUCUCAGCUUCUCGCCCCUUGAUCUCCAUAUGCCUGAGGGGAUCAUUUUGGGAUACACAGAAACCUGGGGAUGGGCAUACCAUGGAGUCUGGAGGGGCUCAGUAGUGACAUGAGCCCAUGGGAUGGGAUCAAGAUACACCUUUGCUUCAGCCUCCGUCACCAGUGUCUUUAGACACCCCAGUUUCUUCAGGAAGUCCCGAUGUACCAUCAGGUAUGAAAACCCUAAGAGGGAGCAGGUGUCAGAGCAGGAGGUCACAGGGCAGCCACUGAAGGAAAGCUGCAUUCUGAGGCUGGAAGAAGGAAGAAUGUCACUGAGUAGACAAAAUAAUGGUCAUCAGGGAAUUGGUAAAGUAAAGAGGAAAAGAAGAAUCAAGACAGUACAAUGCCAUGACAGCUCAAGUGAGAAGACUUUUCAUAAGGAGAGGGGAGACAACCCCAUGAAUGAGCCAUGUAGGUCAAGAAGAAUGAAGGCUGAGAUCAGUGCUGCAGAAAUCACAGGUAGCACAAGGCAAUCUGGAGCUCAGCAGUCCGGAGCUGGUAUAAUGACUCCAUCGUCCUUCUGUCUUGGUCCUUUUGAGUGUGGCUCCAUCAUCCUCAGUGAGUGGCUUCUUCCUCACGGUUCAAGAUAGAUGUCUGAUGUUUAGUCUUAUUCCUGCCAGCAGGAAGGAAGAGCAGAAGAAUGGCAUACCCACCCCCAACCUCCUGUUUUGAGACAGAGUCUCACUUUAUUGUCCAUGCUAGAGUAUAGUGAUCAUAGCUCACUGCAGCUUCAACUUCCUGGGCUUGAGGGAUCCUCCCACCUUAGCCUCCCAAGUAGCUGUGUCUACAGGAGCACACCACCAAGCCCAGCUAAUUUUUGUAUUUUUUGUAGAGACAGGGGUCUCACUGUGUUGCCCAGACUUGUGUCCAGUUACUGAGCUCAAGUGAUCCUCCUGCCUUAGCAUCCCAACGUGCUGGGACUACAGGAAUGAGCCACCACAAGUGGCUUCCUUUCCUUUUAAGGACACAUCUCAGAAGUUGCAUACAUCUGAUUAUAUCCCAUUAGCUAUAACUCAGUCACAUAUAGCACCCAGUAGUAAUAGAAACUGAGGAAUGUGCAUGGUUUAAAAAUCAUGGGUUCUGCUACUAAGGAGGAAGAGAGAACAGAUAUUGAGAGACAACCGGAAGUCUCCAUUUCUAUGGCCCAUUCUAAUGUUUGCCAGACCUUGCUGGUCAGUGAAUUUCUAUUUUCAUUUAAAUUGGUUUUUCAUACUCCAGCAUAUUUGUUCCUAUUGAGUUCUCAAUAA
ensembl:lncRNA LINC01877 long intergenic non-protein coding RNA 1877